CGGUGCCGCUCCCCCUAAGAUUACAUUUAGUCUUGUGGAUCGCCGCUGUCCCAUUUCUUGAAUAUUGGAAUUUUCACUUGUGGAAUUUUCUAAAUUUCUAGCCAUUGUAUUUCUCUUUCACAUUUUAUCAAAGAAUCUUUGCAAAUAAAAAUUUUUAAUAAUAAGAACGUACGAAAAAUAAUAAUGGACUAGUAAAUAGAGAAAAUAGAGAAAAAACCUUUUUGUGCGAUAGUCUUUUACGAGUGUGAAUCUCAACUCUCAAUGAAAGCACCAAUUUGUGGAUGCAAAUUUUCGCCUUCUUCUUCUUGGACAAAAUUGCACCUACAAAACAAUCAACACCUUUGGUCAAGGCCAAGAACCUCACGCGCCCACACUGAAUGGGGGGGUUUUUGCCGAAGAACCUCCGAUACUAAAGUUAGAAUUUAGAGAGAAAAUGUGUUUAGAGGAUUUUUGGGAGUUUUGCAAGAGUAUCAACUUAGCUUUUUAGAAGAAAUAGGGUCAUAUAUAUAGGGAAUGGGGUGUUAUUUGGUGAUUCAAUUAGCAAUUAAUAUAUUAAUUAGGUAUAAAUAUAUUAAUUGGC
rnacentral:lncRNA from 1 species